ACUCAAUAAGACUUGGCCAGUAGAAGUCUUGCUUUUUUGGUGGGAAUGUCAGCGUAUCUUUAUUAGUAUUAAGUC
rnacentral:tRNA from 1 species